AUUGAACGCUGGCGGCAUGCUUUACACAUGCAAGUCGAACGGUAACAGGCCUUCGGGUGCUGACGAGUGGCGCACGGGUGAGUAAUGCAUCGGAACGUACCCAGAGGUGGGGGAUAACGCAGCGAAAGCUGUGCUAAUACCGCAUGUGAUCUGAGGAUGAAAGCGGGGGACCGCGCAGCAAUGUUUGGCCUCGCGCCUUUGGAGCGGCCGAUGUCGGAUUAGCUAGUUGGUGGGGUAAAGGCCUACCAAGGCGACGAUCCGUAGCUGGUCUGAGAGGACGACCAGCCACACUGGGACUGAGACACGGCCCAGACUCCUACGGGAGGCAGCAGUGGGGAAUUUUGGACAAUGGGCGCAAGCCUGAUCCAGCAAUGCCGCGUGCGGGAAGAAGGCCUUCGGGUUGUAAAGCGCUUUUGGCAGGAACGAAACGGUGUCCGCUAAUACCGGGCGCUAAUGACGGUACCUGCAGAAUAAGCACCGGCUAACUACGUG
rnacentral:rRNA from 1 species